rnacentral:rRNA from 1 species
GACGAACGCUGGCGGCGUGCUUAACACAUGCAAGUCGAACGGAAAGGCCCUGCUUUUGUGGGGUGCUCGAGUGGCGAACGGGUGAGUAACACGUGAGUAACCUGCCCUUGACUUUGGGAUAACUUCAGGAAACUGGGGCUAAUACCGGAUAGGAGCUCCUGCUGCAUGGUGGGGGUUGGAAAGUUUCGGCGGUUGGGGAUGGACUCGCGGCUUAUCAGCUUGUUGGUGGGGUAGUGGCUUACCAAGGCUUUGACGGGUAGCCGGCCUGAGAGGGUGACCGGCCACAUUGGGACUGAGAUACGGCCCAGUCGCCUACGGGAGGCAGCAGUGGGGAAUAUUGCACAAUGGGCGGAAGCCUGAUGCAGCAACGCCGCGUGCGGGAUGACGGCCUUCGGGUUGUAAACCGCUUUCGCCUGUGACGAAGCGUGAGUGACGGUAAUGGGUAAAGAAGCACCGGCUAACUACGUG